GCGGGGAUGCCGGAGUGGCCAAACGGGGCAGACUCAAGAUCUGCUGGCUUAGUGCCUACGUGGGUUCAAAUCCUACUCCCCGCA
rnacentral:tRNA from 1 species